UUCGUAACUCAUGGAAAUACAAAACUGUCUUUCCACAUUUUCACUUAAUGCUUUGGUCCAUUAUUAACUAAAGUAAAAAAUAACAGUUCACUAUUUGGUUUUUCCAUCCUUUACGCGUAGGCUUACAUUUUCUUGCAUUAUUACAUGGUUUAAUUAUAUAAUUUACACCAUAAACCACCUUAUCACUUUGGAUCCAUCAUGAUCCCCAUAAACAAAAAUAAAAACAUCCACCAACAAAGCUUAAAUAAAACUUAAAAAAGAUGGAUGAUAGUUAGGGUUUCAAGGUUACCAUGUGGUUUUUUUCUUCUUACUUAGCUAGAUGAUCAAAGCUUGAUCUCACUUGCUCAUUCCCUUCCUCUUCUUGCCUUGAGUUUUCUUUCUCUUUCUUGCUCUCUCU
rnacentral:lncRNA from 1 species